AAAGGAGAGAUCCGGUACCGGCUGGGCAUGCGGCGCAUUAGCUAGUUGGCGGGGCAACGGCCCACCAAGGCGACGAUGCGUAGGGGUUCUGAGAGGAAGGUCCCCCACACUGGAACUGAGACACGGUCCAGACUCCUACAGGAGGCAGCAGUGAGGAAUAUUGGUCAAUGGGCGCAAGCCUGAACCAGCCAAGUCGCGUGAGGGAAGACGGCCCUACGGGUUGUAAACCUCUUUUGCCGGGGAGCAAGCCUGAGCACGUGUGCCCAGGCGGAGAGUACCCGGAGAAAAAGCAUCGGCUAACUCCGUGCCAGCAGCCGCGGUAAUACGGAGGAUGCGAGCGUUAUCCGGAUUUAUUGGGUUUAAAGGGUGCGCAGGCGGGCUGUUAAGCCGGCGGUAAAAAUUCAGGGCUCAACCCUGUCGAGCCGUCGGAACUGGCAGUCUUGAGUGGGCGAGAAGUAUGCGGAAUGCGUGGUGUAGCGGUGAAAUGCAUAGAUAUCACGCAGAACGCCGAUUGCGAAGGCAGCAUACCGGCGCCCAACUGACGCUGAGGCACGAAAGCGUGGGGAUCGAACAGGAUUAGAUACCCUGGUAGUCCACGCAGUAAACGAUGAGCGCUAACUGUCCGGAGCGAGCGAGCUCUGG
rnacentral:rRNA from 1 species